UACGAAGGGUGCAAGCGUUAAUCGGAAUUACUGGGCGUAAAGGGUGCGUAGGCGGUUGUUUAAGUCUGUCGUGAAAUCCCCGGGCUCAACCUGGGAAUGGCGAUGGAUACUGGCGAGCUAGAGUGUGUCAGAGGAUGGUGGAAUUCCCGGUGUAGCGGUGAAAUGCGUAGAGAUCGGGAGGAACAUCAGUGGCGAAGGCGGCCUUCUGGACCAGUACUGACGCUCAUGCACGAAAGCGUGGGGAGCAAACAGG
rnacentral:rRNA from 1 species